ACAUUAGUGGCUCAAUUGUAGAAUUUUCGCCUGCCACGCCUAAGGCCUGGGUUCGAUUCCCAGUCAAUGUU
rnacentral:tRNA from 1 species